AUACGGAGGAUCCGAGCGUUAUCCGGAUUUAUUGGGUUUAAAGGGUGCGCAGGCGGCCAUUUAAGUCAGCGGUUAAAUCGUGGGGCUCAACCCCAUUCUGCCGUUGAUACUGGGUGGCUUGAUUGCGGUCGAGGUUGGCGGAAUUCGUUGUGUAGCGGUGAAAUGCAUAGAUAUGACGAAGAACACCGAUUGCGUAGGCAGCUGACCAGACCGCAAAUGACGCUCAUGCAAGAAAGUGCGGGGAUCGAACAGGAUUAGAUACCCUGGGAGUCCGCACAGUAAACGAUGAAUACUUGUUUUCGGCGAUAUAAUGUCGGAGGCAAAGCGAAAGCGAUAAGUAUUCCACCUGGGGAGUACGCCGGCAACGGUGAAACUCAAAGGAAUUGACGGGG
rnacentral:rRNA from 1 species